rnacentral:lncRNA from 1 species
UCCCUACUUAUUCACUAUAGUCAAAGUCCUAGCCAGAGCAAUGAGACACCAAAAGAAGGUCAAAGGGAUAAAAAUUGGAAAGGAAGAAGUCAAAAUAUCACUGUUUGCGGAUGAUAUGAUAGUAUACUUAAGUGACCCCAAAAGUUCCACCAGAGAUCUACUAAGCCUGAUAAACAACUUCAGCAAAGUGGCUGGGUAUAAAAUAAACUCAAAUCAGUAGCCUCCCUCUACUCAAAGGAUAAACAGGGUGAGAAAGAAAUGGGAAAUGACAAAAAUAAAAACCAUAGGAUAGUGAAAACUAUCCACAACAAUACAAGAACUUCUGAGGGAAUCAUCAUACCUGACCUCAAGCAGUAUUUCAGAGCAAUGGUUACAAAAACUGUAUGGUAUCAGUACAGAGACAGGCAGGUAGAUUAGUGGAAUAGAAUUGAAGACCCAGAAAUGAACCCAUACACCUAGGGUCACUUGAUCUUUGACCAAGGAGCUGAAACCAUGCAGUGGGGAAAAAUGGCAUUUUCAACAAAUGGUGCUGGUUCAACUGGAGGUCAGCAUGUAGAAGAAUGCAAAUGAAACAAUUUUUAUCACCCUGUCCAAAGCUAAAGUCCAAGUGGAUCAAGGACCUCCACAAUAAAGCAGAUACACUCAAACUAAUGGAAGAAAAAGUGGAGAAGAACCUCGAACACAUGGGCACUGGGGAAAAUUUCCUGAACAAAACACCAAUGGCUUAUGCUUUAAGAUCAAGAAUCAACAAAUGGGAUCUCAUAAAACUGCAAAGCUUCU